CGAACGGCUCCGUAUAUCUGUGAUAACCCUGCUGAUAAAUAUUAAAAGUUCACUAGCAUAAUCUAGUGAGUCAGCCUGUUAUUUCCUCCUUGGAGGAGAUGACUACAAAUCUUAAUUUGGGACUGAUAUUUCAGUAACUUUUUAUCUUUUGUUGUGCUUACUUACAUGGAUAUCCGACGGUAAUUCUGCGGCUAAUACAUGCUUUCUUGAUAGCUCAAGGUAUUAUUUAUGGCCUUCUCUAACAGAGAAAGCCCUCUAAUUUUAAUGCUAGCUGUCAUGGAGGACUACCUCCUUGAACCCUUACCUUAAUUUGGUAUGCAACACUCUUUUACUGAGUGAAUAUCUCUCCUUGACUAACUGGUACGUUCCCCCUAUUGUUACAUCGUUUUCUUUUAGGGGGUUUCUCCGGUAAAUUAGAGGGGUUUCAGCUCUAUCAACUGUUGAGCAGGGUAUUGACCUGUUCAGGUGAUCACGGAUACAGAGAAUCAGGGCUCGAUUCUGGAGAGGAAGCUUAAAAAUCCGCUUCUACUUCUAAGGAAGGCAGCAGGCGCGAAACGUUCCCAAUAACUGCCCUAUACACAGGUCGAGGACGUUAGGAAACAUACGGAACUGGGCUAUUAUGGCUCAGACAUUCGGAUGAGGGCAAAAUAGAACUCUCACCUAGUAACAAUUAGUGGGAAAGUCUG
rnacentral:rRNA from 1 species